UAGUCCUUUUGGGAUGACAUCUGUUGACCCAAGAAAGGAUUUCCACCAGGUCCACCAAUGGCAACUUGUCCAAUCUUUUUGCUGAAACCAAAUCUCUCAACCAUCUGCCUUGCAACCCGUGAAACUUGCAUGAAGUCAUUUGAAGCUCCUGUUGUCACAUUUUCCUGACCAAAGAUCACCUCCUCAGCAACCCUUCCACCUAAUGCAACAGCCAUCUGAUUCUCCAAGUAGCUUCUGCUGUACAAUCCAGACUCAAGCCUCUCCUCACUAGGAGCAAAAAAUGUAAGACCACCAGCUUGACCACGAGGAAUGAUGGAUAUCUUGGCUACAGGAUCAUAUUCAGGCAUCAGUGCACCAACCAAAGCAUGCCCAGCCUCAUGAUAGGCAACUAAUUUUUUCUUCUCGUCUGAGACAACAGCAUUUUUCUUCUCUGGCCCAGCAAUGAUCCUCUCUAGAGCAUCAGAUAUCUCA
rnacentral:misc_RNA from 1 species